UACGUAGGGGGCGAGCGUUGUCCGGAGUUAUUGGGCGUAAAGCGCUCGCAGGUGGUCCGAUGCGUCGUGCGUGAAAGACCCCGGCUCAACUGGGGAGUGUCGUGCGAUACGGUCGGACUGGAGGCCAGUAGGGGGAUGCGGAAUUCCGGGUGUAGUGGUGGAAUGCGUAGAGAUCCGGAGGAACACCAGCGGCGAAGGCGGCAUCCUGGACUGGUCCUGACACUCAUGAGCGAAAGCGUGGGGAGCGAACAGG
rnacentral:rRNA from 1 species